GUUGCUCACUCUCCCUCAAAGGCUUCAGGUAAUGCUGGACACGACCCCAGCAACUCUUGAAGUCUUUGGGGAGAGUGAACAA
rnacentral:pre_miRNA from 2 species